rnacentral:lncRNA from 1 species
GCGAUAGGCGUCUCAGACUUGAAGACGCCUCUCCAGCAGAACUCCCUCAUUGGUCGGCAAGAGAAAACAAAGCUGGGCUCUGAUUGGUGACAGCUCUGUAGCUCCUCCUCAUACCCGCAGUCCCCGCAAGUUCCACCCCUGCCCGCCCGGUUCGCUCGCCCUUGGUUCCCACUCCCAGGUGGCUGCAGACUGGAGUGUGUUUCAUGGACGAGCAACCUCCCUGAGGAGAACCCCGGAUACGCAGGUUCAUUCGCCAGAUGCGAGUUUUCUUAAGCCGCUGCGAUUCUCUGAUUUCAGUAUGAACUUGAGUCACCAGUAAAAUGAGCAUUCAUUCAUUAAGCCAAUCAUCAGGAAUGGAUCUAGGAAGAACCUACUGUUUACUAGAAAUAGGUUAGAUCUGUGGAUAUAACAAUGAAUAAGACAAGACUGGUGGAUCUAUAGAGAAACUAUUACUGCACAGGUGAUGGGGAAAUCAAGAGUACUAUGGGGCCAAGGAGACUGUCCUGCAGCAAAUGAGGAAUAAGCUGAAACAUCAGUAGGAGCCAUCCCAGAGAAAAGGGACAGGGUUCUAGAUCCAGAGAACAACAGAAGAGCAUUCAGCGCCUGCAAGGGAGCAGGGGAUCUAAUGCAAAGCCAUUGCAUAACCAGUCAACUUUCCCCACAUCACAAGAUUGCCUAGCCUGGAUGGCCCCAGAAUGUUGAAACAAAUGUCUAAUUAGUAACGACAUUCUGAAUGCUUGGGAGCUGAGCAAAAUAUGAGGAGAAGCAACCUGAUUUUUGUUUCAUAUUAUCAUCUCCUUUAUUCCAGCAACAAAAGACACUGAAAAUAGUAAAUGCCCACUUUCAACCAUGACAGCCCUUUUAGGAUAGUAACGGUGAGCAGUAUUAAUCCUAUUUGACCAGAACUAGGGCAGAAUUGAAGCCCCUGGAGUAGAGAUCUGUUCUAUUAGCCCCAGCCUUUCCGCCUGCUUCUUGGGAUGGCUAUCUUUACUUUAUCAGUUGAGCCUCCAGCAUUAGCAGAUACCUAUAAGGGAAGAGAUCCAGCCCUCACUAUGGAGGGCCAGAAAGAGAAAGCACCAGACAUUAGGAAAUGUCAAAGUAUCUCAGUACAUCCAGCUGAUUAGUGACAGAUAAGUCAAAAUUUGCAGCAACUAAAUAAAUCAAAAAGUAGAUUUUAAAA